GGAGCAGACCUGUGGCUGAGUCAGCAUGGUGCACAGCAGAAAGUGGGGGGACAGUGGCCAGUGCUGCCCCGCCGGGCUCUGUCUGCAUCACCUGGAGCGGCACAGACCCUUCAGUCUCCAUUCUCUCUUCAGGAAAGAGGCCUACUCGAAGAUGAACACACCAAGGCUCAGAGACAAAACAAAUCCGUGGGAUGCUGAGGGCACUCGGAUAACUUCUGCUCGGGAGAGAAGCCCAAACUCCGCGUCCCGGAGACCUGAAGUGUGGCCGCCAGUGGACACCCAGCUGAGGGAUGAACAGCAAUGAAUGAGAAUUCCUAUUGCUCCACAUCCUCACC